UAAAAUAAUUGCCAUUCUUAUCGGUUUCCAUCCUUCUUGUGUUAAUAUAUUCUGGUACGUGAUGUCCACGAUAUCAUAUUAUUUGCUUCUGUAUCACACUACCUUAAAUGGUUUAUAAAUAAAUAAAAAUACAAAUCAAUAAAGUGCUACCAUAGUCAAACUAAUAUCUUUAAAGUACAAAAAAAUAAACUAAUAAAAAGCUGGAUCAACCAAGUAAAAGCUCGUUCUAUAAAAUAACUGAAUUAAUCACUAAUCAGUAUCCGAAAUCAGAUAAAUCCAGUUAAAAUUAGGAAUAAAUUCAGUUAGUCAGGGUCAAAAUCAGGAAAAGAGAAGAAGGAGGUGACAGCAAAUGAUUGGGUGCUUUUUGUUUUAAUUUUUUAAACUGUCCAAGCACAAAAUUGACACGUGACUGUGAUUUUAGCCUUUUUUAACCUGAAUGUGUAGCGUAGUUGUAAAAAAUUAGUCGUUAAUAAUAAAAACCAACACAUUUAUCGAAAAAUUAAACAGAAAGCUAGAUCAAAAUUAUAAAUGCUCAAUCUAAAAACAAAAUCAAGGUACAAGGUAAAUGUAAUAAAAUACAAACAAAUAACUGACGUAAUUGAUAUCCAAAAUCAGAUCAGAUCACGUCAUCAGCAUUCUUACAAUCAAGAAUAUAAUAAGUGCCCAGAAGAUCUGAAAAUUGAAUUGAAAAUAAAAAUAAAAAUCAUACCAUAAAUAAAAACAGCAAAAAAGAAAUGAAAGACCUGAGGGAAGGUGGUGCUCUGAGCCCAGACGGUGCCGUCAUGGCCGAGGAUAGCGGCGGCGGCGAGGUGAUUACCCUCGAUCUCCGCCAUCAAGUGAUCAUCUAUGUACGAUUGCCACGACAUCUUUGAUUUGAUUCUUUAGAUUCGAAUUUUUGCCUCUUGUACGUAGUUGGAGGUGAGAUUUGAGAGUUGGAUUAAUUUUCUGAAAAGAAAAAGAGGUCCAUCAGCUGUUAUGCCGGUGCAUCUCGAUGUGGUCAAAUGUCAUUUCUGCCCCUUUGAUCAUUUCUACCCUAUCACAUUAUUACUUUAAGCAAAUUAUUCAAAUUGAAAAAUGUUAUUUCAUUGAAAGAUUUGAUGAAAUAGUAGUAUUUAAAUUGUUGUAAAUGAAGAAUCUCAAUAACAAAUUAUUGAGUAAUGCUAUUUGUCUAUACUCAUGAACAUUGCAUAAUUCAUUAAAAAAAAAAAAUUCAAUUUUUUUUUGGGCCUUUUUAACUUCAUAAACUGACGAAGUUAAGAGGCCUCAACUGAUAUAUUUUUUUUUUAGUGAAUAAUGUCAAGAGGAUUAUUGUAAAAUAAGUAUUAUUUGUGCCACGUUUUAAUUGCAUUACAAGAUUUUUAAUAUUUACUUAUUGCCAUACUUACAUUUUCGUAUUUUUUUUUCACCGCAUGGUUAUCAUUUAACAUUUUAUUAAUCAAUACAUCUUGUCAAAUUGAUGAUGAUUUUCGUUCAAAAAAUCUAUUAAAAUGGCAUAAAAAUGACUUAUUUAUAUAUUAUGUUUUUAAAUGAGCAAAACAAAAAUUAAUAAAAUAAAAAGGUGAGACUAAAUUUUUUUCUUAUUUUAAAGCACGAUAAUAGAAUUUUUGAACGAAAAUUAUCACAAAAAACAUCAUGCGCUAAUUAAUGAAAAGUUAAGAAUAAGUAUAUGAUGAGAAAAAGUGGAGAUAAAAGCGUAAAUAAGAAGUAAAGAUAUGAACUUUUAGUACAACUAAAAUGUGAUGCAUUGUAAAAAAUAAAAAUAAAAUAAAAUAAAAUUAUAGGAAGAUUAUUAAUCGAAUCUUAAUUUUACUGUAUAUAUCAGUCUUGGACUCUUAAUUAUCAAUAAUACCCUUAAAUUUUGUUUGUCUCAAAUUCUUGUCUUGUUCUUUCAAUUCUAUAACAAUUUUGAAUUUAAAAGCUCGAGGAGAACUACUACCGGAAUACAAUUGGAAAUGAGGUCAUUUCCGAAAUUUUAUAGGGAAAUUUUACCGUUGGAGUUGAGGCCUUUUCUGAAAAUUUUACAGAUUAGUAUCGUUUCUGGUAGUGUAUAGACCUGGGCUGAUCUUGGGUUAUUACCGCGAGCCCAACACAGUGUCCAGUAGUAGAAGUCUAGCAUAGACUAAAAAGGCUUCAAGUGGUCUCACUAGUCACUACUGUAGAACUUUCUUUAUUAACACUAAGGCCCCUGGACUACCUGAAAGUAUAAUUACAUUUUCAGUACCUGUACAAGACGGCCGCGAGUUUUUGAGAGCUCGUUUGGAAGGACUUUUACUUUUAUUUUUACAUUUUUGUAAAAUGAAAGCUCUUCUACGUGUAAGCUGUUAUUGCCAUUAUAUACAGACUAGAGGUUGAAUCCAUUGUUGGGGGUGGGGCAUCGGGCUAGAUCGGGACGAUUUUUGCACAGACCCAACCCAACUUUGUCGAUUUUGGGCAAUUUUUGGGCCAACUCGAUUGGUUCGGUAAUAGAAACCGACCAACCUGAGCUGACUCUGCUCGGGUUGAGUCAACAUUUUGUUUCUUUUUUCAAUUCUAAAAUUAUUUCGAAUUUCCAAAUGAAUCCUUUUUGCCAAAAAUAAAAUCAGAACAAGCGUAAUAGUUUUUCUUCUGGUUGAUAAUAGUUUGUCAGUGUCGUAAAUCAUGGUGGUGUAAAAAAUUUAAUCGAAACAAGGUAAUAUAAUUAAAUUAAAAAUAUGAACAACCAAAUAACCAAAAUAACCAUCAAGCAUGAAUAUAUUACAGUUAUCCAAUGGGCUUUGGGGAUCCAUCAUCCCAUGUAUAGCGUGAUUAAGGCUUGGUUGACAAUGGCCAUAUUUCAAUAACUAUGUAAAACUGAUUUCACAGCUUCAUCAAUCCUUUUUUAAUAUGAUUUAGGCUUGCAUGACAUUGAAAUUAAACAAUAAGUUUGAACACAGUCGAAUUAAACUUUGAAAACCCGAUCUCCAUAGACCCCUUCUUAAGACGUUGAGUCUAAUGUGAAACGUCAAAUAUCAUCUACGCCUAGGUGUACUAGGUCGACAUGCCCAUACAUCAUUUAGAUUAAGUUUCCAUAGGGUAAUAUCCAUCGAACUGCACUGGUCGAUAUCUAAAAUAUGAUGAACUGCCGAGUUCAUUGAUGAGUUUGCAAGAAUCCAAAAGCAUCGACUAUUGCCUCUUGGGUGCUAAAUUGCUCGAGUCGCCUACUAAAAUUUUAGCAUCCUUAUCCCGUCCCACACUCUUUGAGGAGUUUGGAAGAAUCCAAGACAAGUGAUUUAAGCCAUGUUGUAUUCUUCAUUCCACUAAACAAUUCCCCUUGCAAUGUCUUUAAGGGACCAAAUCUGCACAACUGGGAAAGCCCAAAACUCUUCUAGUACUGCUACUUUUAAUAGCAUACAAAAUCUUUCCAUAAAGUGAAAGAAUUGAGUGUCAACUUUUUAGGUUGAACAGGACAUUGCAGGUAUUAUCUUUUUUUUUUUUUUAGCCCAACACAGUGUCCAGUAGUAGAAGUCUAGCAUAGACUAAAAAGGCUUCAAGUGGUCUCACUAGUCAUUAGUGUAGAACUUUCUUUAUUAACACUAAGGCCCCUGGACUACCUGAAAGUAUAAUUACAUUUUCAGUACCUGUACAAGACGGCCGUGAGUUUUUGAGAGCUCAUCAGUUUGAGCCUGAUUAUCCCUAAACCCAAUGUGAGUUCUUCUAUUUGGAUUUGCUCCCCCGCCGUGAUUUUAGCCCUUAUAAAAAGAAAACGGAUUCUUGAACCCCUUUCACGCUCAUGUCACGUCGAGGUUAUAUAAGGCCGAUUACUCUGACUUUCUCCUCCGCUUAUAGCAUCUCGCGGCCAUUGGGAGGAUCUUUUUCGGACGUUUUCUAGGAGCAGAAGGAACGCAUUCUAGACACAGAUCAUUGGUAUUGGAUGUAUGGAAGGACUUUUGAUUUUAUUUUUACAUUUUUGUAAAACGAAAGCUCUUCUACACGUAGGGGCAUCGGGCCAGAUCAAGACGAUUUUUCCCCAGAUCCAACCCAACUUUGUCGAUUUUGGACAAUUUUUGGGCCAACUCGAUUGGUUCAAUAAUAGAAACCGACCAACCUGAACUGACUCUGCUCGGGUCGAGUCAACAUUUUGUUUCUUUUUUCAGUUUUAAAAUUAUUUCGAAUUUCCAAAUGAAUCCUUAAUUGCCAAAAAUAAAAUCAGAACAAGCUUAAUAGUUUUUCUUCCGGUUGAUAAUAGUUUGUCAUUGUCGUAAAUCAUGGUGCUGUAAAAAUUUUAAUCGAAACAAGGUAAUAUAAUUAAAUUAAAAAUAUAAACAACCAAAUAACCAAAAUAACCAUCAAGCAUGAAUAUAUUACAGUUAUCCAAUGGGCUUUGGGGAUCCAUCAUCCCAUGUAUAGCGUGAUUAAGGCUUGGUUGACAAUGGCCAUAUUUCAAUAACUAUGUAAAACUGAUUUCACAGUUUCAUCAAUCCUUUUUUAAUAUGAUUUAGGCUUGCAUGACAUUGAAAUUAAACAUUAAGUUAGUACACAGUCGAAUUAAACUUUGAAACCCGAUCUCAAUAAACUCUUUCUUAAGACGUUGAGUCUAAUUUGAAACGUCAAAUAUCAUCUACGCCUAAGUGUACUAGGUGUACAUGCCCAUACAUCAUUUAGAUUAAGUUUCGAUAGGGUAAUAUAUCCAUCGAACUGCACUGGUCAAUAUCUAAAAUAUGAUGAACUGCCGAAUUCGUUGAUGAGUUUGCAAGAAUCCAAAAGCAUCGACUAUUGCCUCUGGGGUGCUAAAUUGCUCGAGUCGCCUAUUAAAAUUUUAGCAUCCUUAUCCCGUCCCACACUCUUUGAGGAGUUUGGAAGAAUCCAAGAAAAGUGAUUUAAGCCAUGUUGUAUUCUUCAUUCCACUAAACAAUUCCCCUUGCAAUGUCUUUAAGGGACCAAAUCUGCACAACUGGGAAAGCCCAAACUCUUCUAGUACUACUCCUUUUAAUAGCAUACAAAAUCUUUCCAUAAAGUGAAAGAAUUGAGUAUCAACUUUUUAGGUUGAACAGGACAUUGCAGGUAUUAUCUUUUUUUUUUUUUCAUUUUAAAAUAUUUAUCGAGCAUCUGUGUGAUUUUGUGCUAGAUACCACAACAGUCAACAAAAUAUUGAAAUAAUUGACCUUAUAUAUGGAUCAUCAUUAUCGUUUGGUUUUCAGUUUCUACUAGGCCUUCCGCAAGUAGAGAGUGUAUAAUGAUAUAAAUAAUAUAUUAAAAUAUCUAUCGAUCCACAUAAUUUCGUAAGAUUUUAUUUCUGGUGACAUCACUUCAGAGUCUAUUUCGACUAGAAAUUGAAUGGUCGACCAAACUUCAAUACCUAAGUUAAUGUCUAAAUUUAGUUCCCUUCCAUCCAGCCUCCUGUCCUGCCCCAUCCUAAGAUACCAUUUGUGACACAACUCGUCCCGAAUCACCCUAAUGGACUCAAAACGUGGCGUGCGUCGAUGAUAGAUGCUGACUAGAUGUCAAAUCUACCACCAAGGCUGACUAUGAGUUAUUUAAAAAAAAAUGCAACAAAAUCAAAUGCUUAUGUAAAACAUAAUGCGAUGGGCCCAAAUUAUUUACUUUGUACUUCAUCAAAAUGAGUUAUAAUAUUCAACAUGUCGUGUGACUCUCAUUCCAAAAUCAUUAGGCUCUUCCAGCUAAAAAGAAUCAAUUUCCACCUGUAGGAAAAUUACGGGAAAAUAUAUGAGUUGAUAGCUCAGUGAAUGGAGAAGUUCGAAAAUAAUUAUACUUUUUCAUUUUUACAUUUUUAUCAAAAAUCGAGUUCAUUUCAUUGAUAACUCGCAAGAUAACACCAUAUAAUUAUAGCCAAAAUGUUAGGCAUUCACAUUACGUGGUAAAAUAUCAUCUCAAGUCAUGAUAUAAACUGGUAAUCAUGCUAUAAUCUCAUCACAUCAAAUGUACUGAAAAAUCUACCAAAAACGUACCAUCUGACUAAAAUCUGUAAUCUGCCCUCAAGCUAAGAACUUUCGCCACGGGCCUUUAGCUCCUCCGUAGGGCUGGGCAAAACUCCCGAACCGAACCCGACGGUUCUUCUCAAGUUAAAUACCCGAAUGGGUAUUUGAAUCGAGAACCGACGGGUAUGGUUCGGUUGUCGGUUCUAGGCCAAGACCCGAAGAACCGAAUCUCCCUAAUUUUUUUAAUUUAUUUAUUUUAAAUAAGCAAAAUUAUUUUAUUUUUUCUAAAUAAAUUUGUUAACUAGUUAAUUUAGUUCAAACAAAAAAAAUAUGAUUUUCCUAUUUCUAAUUUUCAGUUCAAAGUCAACUUAAUCAAAUUCACAUCAAUUUUAUCCUAGUUUGUUACUCUACUGUAGUGUCGUUUUUAUUGGAGAAAAUCAAAUUAAAGCUCUACAACGUCUCUCUUAAUUAUUUUGAACUCGCUAUCUUUCUCUUCCUAUGAUUUAUGAAGAACUCAACAAAGAGAGACGUAAAUAACACAUAAGAUUAGAUUACGUUAUUUUGUAAGAGCUAAGAUUGAACAUAUCAUUAAUUAAAUUAAUGUAACUUUGUAUAUAUUAAAAAAUUUAAUUAUAAUAUGGAAUUUCAGAACCGAAUGAAACCGAACCGAAUGGAACCGAACCCGAACGGUUCCAUAAUUAAAUUUGGACCCGACGGUUCCACUUAUUAAAUACCCGAAAAUUUCAGGUUGAUUCGGUUCUCGUUAGAAUCGAAGCGAACCGGACUAUGUUCAGCCCUACCCCUGCGUGAACGAAAGCGGGUCUCAAGACCACUGAUAAUCAAUUCUAGAAUACGGUCAAAGCCCCUCAGUGAACUAUAUAUACACUGUCACGAUCCCUUCAUCCCCAGCCAAUUCCUUAGUAUAGUAUAGAACACGACCAAGGCCACUCUGUGAACUAGAAGAAGUGCAUAAUCACGAAUACUUUUCUGAUCGAUCUCAAUAUCACGUCUCACAUACCAAACAAAUCUCAAUAUCACAUGUUUCGUAUACCAAGUCACAAAAUGUAUAAUAAAUAAUCCUUGAAAUUUCACAUGUAUUAUAAUAAAAGAGAUUUCCAUAAUAAUCAUAUAACUAGAACACAUAAUUGCAUAUAAUUGCACAUACUUUAACAAUAUACUUAAUUUAUAAAUACUUUAAAAAUAUUUAUAUUUUUCCACUCACAGUACUAUGUUUGCAAAAUCAAUCCGGUUGGUAAGUUGUUCUAAUGUCAGUAUCAUCGCCUUUCAAAAUUGAGGAAUUCAAGUCUAAUAGUAUAACCCACUUAAUUCCUAACACGUUGGCGAAUCUUCAUUUUUUUCCUCUUUUUCCUUUUUUUUUCCUCUCUCUUUUCUCUUUUUUUCUUUUUCUCUGGUUUGUUUCCUUCGUGUGUGUAGUGUGUGUGUUUGUUUUUAAUUUGAUUUUGGGUGGAAUUCCACCGCCUCACUUUAUUCUUUUUCUCUCUUUUUUUUUUUAAUUACAAAACUCACCCUCUUAAAAAAUUUCGUCCUCGAAAUUCGAUUAGCUAAGAAUUGCACAUAUAAAUAUGUAGAGCACAUUUGAUCAUCACCUGCCAUAAUACUUCUUCUAUGGCAUGAUUUCUCUAACGAACUUUUAGUCCCAAAAUUUAAUCUUUCUUAUCAUACUUUUAAUAACUUCCUACGAGCCAAUAUAUGAUAUUCUUAUCUUUUUUUUUUUUCCAAAACCUUAGGAAAACUCAAUUAUUUUUCAAAUUUGAAGUUCAAAAUACUACUUUUCAUGUUCUCUAAAUCUUCACCUUACGUCCUAAUUUAAACUAUUCUUUAAUCACAUUCUUUUUCAAUAACAAUGGUUAUAUAUUAAGAUCGAAAAACAUUCUUACGCCCAUUUCGCCAUACGUUCUUAGAAUAUUUCAAUAUUAUAUAUAACAUCAAUUAUAGUCACUUGUGUGUAGCUUGUAUAUGUCAAUUCAGUGCAAAAUAAAUAAUUAUCCAAGUACCAUUUUAUUAACAAACUAUAAUUGAUAGCCUCUCUUUUGAACUUAUCUUCGUAGUGUUUGACAUUCUAUCAAAAGAAGAUGCACAAUGUAAUUUAAUUAUAUAACUUCUUACAACUAAUCAAAGAUAAAUACUCUAAUUCCACCAUACAAUUAACAAUAUUGUCUAAAUAUAAUUUUAUAAAUCUAUCCUAUGAAUUGACUAUAUCAUUUAAAAAGAAUCUUGUAACAUUUAUCAAUCUAUCUACAAUGAUUUAAAUACUAUUUUGUCUUCAUUUCGUAUAUUUGGAAUCCCCAAACAAAAAUAUUUGAGGGUAACUACCUCCAUUCCAAAUUGACAAUAUAUCCAAAAAUUCAAUUAUUCAUGAUUUUCUAAAAUUCUAGUUAUCCCCGAUAAAACAAUUGAGAUUGCUCAAUAUAAUGUUCUUUUCCUUUAAUUCUAUAUCACCCAAUAAUAAUAUAUACACAGUUUUCAUAUCCACCAUUUCUAAUAAAAUAUACCUUAAACUCUGAUAAUUGGUAAGUAUUGAUAUUUCUCGCAAUGUGAUGACAUAAGCCCAAUGUAACCAACUCCAAUUUAUGUUUUACUUAUGCCUCUUCAACAAUUGAUCAUAUAAUUCAUAAUUCAUCAUUUUACUUCAAAACAUGUCCUAAACCUUAACAUAAUCCAUUAUUAUAAAUCAAAUCCUCAUCAACUUUUAAUACAAGAGUAAAUGUUUCCUCAAAAUUUAAUCUGAUAGCAACAUUUUUUUUUUUACAUCCUUAAAUCCACACAAUAUUGGUGCUCUUUCUUUCUAUGAAGAAACAAUUAUAACAAUUAAUCCAUGAUAAUUUUUUACUCUUAUUCCAUAAAAAGCCAUCAGCCUAUCACCAAUGCAUAAGCUUUCUUUUAUAUUGCACAAAGACCUUCAAUUAAGAUUAUAACCUAAAGAUACCAUUCCACAAUUGGAUAAAAUUUAGAUGAUGAUCGUCUUAAAUUUCAAACUAUCCAACAUAUCAUCCAUGUGUUCCAUAAUGUAUAGAUCUUCGAAAGAGUGGAAUACUUUAUUCAUGAUAUUCAAAAAUACAAUCGAAAACAGCCCAAAAAUUACAUCACUAAAAUUUUAAUAAAUUCAUUUUAACUUCAAAAUUUAACUCAAAACUUUCAAAUUCAAUGGAAUAUAACACAAAACUCCAACAAAUGGCCUUAAAAAAUUAAUUAACUUAAUAACCCAAAUCUUUCAUCACAUUAUUUUGUUAUGGGACAGUCAUUACAUUCAUUUAGAUGCUAUUGACCAUUUCAUAUUGUAAUCAUAUAACGUCAUCACAUACUCAUGGCCAUGCCAUAUGUCUUCCAACUUUUAGUUAUAUCAAUUUUCCUUAAGAUCACAUAAUAAUAACCUUCAUAUUUAUCAUGUGAACAUUUUCACACAUCGCUUAACCACCAAGAUUUCAUAUGUUAAUUUUCCAAUUUCAAUAAAUUCCAACUCUAUCAUUUUUUACUCCUUUUUGUUCUUCACAUAAUCAUACCUGAAUAUAUAUAUCCAUUUUAAUUCUAGUUCUUGAAAAAUAAAUUAUUCCAAAAUAAGUAAUCAUGAUGAAGUAUAUCACUUUUUUUUUUCACAUCCCUUAUAAUCAACAGCUCAUAAAUAAUCACAAUGAUUGAAAUUGCCCAAGAUAAUUAAAUUUCCUCCUUGAUUGUUACCAUACCAUUCCCUUUUAUUUAUCGUGCCAACUAUAUCAAAUAAUUCAACAUAUAAAUUGAUAAUUAAGUGGUUAUACCAUCUAUCACUUUGAAUGCAUACAUAAACAACCUGUAAAAUCAUUAAAAUCUGUUCAACUCUUAAUAGGUUAAAUACACCACAAUUUCAAUCCAACAACUAAUAACACUUUCCACCCAUCGGAUCAUUGCAACUAUUAUAUUUACAUACUAGUCUUUUCUGGAUCUGUUAAAAAUAUCUUCUUAUCAUUUUUGGUUCCAUACAUUCGAGCUUGAGAGCCUGUGAUUUCCGCCACCACGACAUGUGACCAUAAGCACUGAAUAUACAAGAUAUGCCAAUGCAUGAACUAACAAGACUUUCAAAACUUUAUAAACUAUGCUCUGAUACCACUUUGACACGACCCGUCCCGAAUCACCCUAGUGGACCCGAAACGUGAUGUGCGCCAAUGAUAUUGAUAUACUAAGGACCUGGUACUUAUUCUCAAUCCUCAGCAACCAGUCUCAAAAUCCAAUUUGGACAAAACUCAUCCGGUCAAUUAUCCACAGUUAUAAACUCGAGCAAAAACAAUUAACAUAUUCACAAGCUAUAAGUUGAAGCAAAAGCAGAGACAAAAACAAUACCUUUUUCCCUCGGAUGACAACCCCUGGCUCACCUUGAAUUACCAUGUAUUUAGUACCACCAAGAUACAAGCCAGUAGGAGCAAGUGAACCAGGAUUUUCAAAGUCAUUCAUGAUAGCAGUGAUUUCCUCAGGCUUGAGCUACGCCAGCAUUAAUCAAAAAGAGAAUAAUUUUAUUUCACAGAUUAACAUAGAGAAAAGAUAUCCCAGCAAAGAAAUUUAGUGCAUUGCGAAACAGGCUUGUGUUGUAUUAUUGAUGCCAUUCUACUUCUAUAAAAAAAAAAUAAUAAUAAUAAUAAAAUAAUUGCUAUUCUUAUCGGUUUCCAUCCUUCUUGUGUUAAUAUAUUCUGGUACGUGAUGUCCACGAUAUCAUAAUAUUUGCUUCUGUAUCACACUACCUUAAAUGGUUUAUAAAUAAAUAAAAAUACAAAUCAAUAAAGUGCUACCAUAGUCAAACUAAUAUCUUUAAAGUACAAAAAAAUAAACUAAUAAAAAGCUGGAUCAACCAAGUAAAAGGUCGUUCUAUAAAAACUGAAUUAGUCACUAAUCAGUAUCCGAAAUCAGAUAAAUCCAGUUAAAAUUAGGAAUAAAUUCAGUUAGUCAGGGUCAAAAUCAGGAAAAGAGAUACAUAAACAACCUGUAAAAUCAUUAAAAUCUGUUCAACUCUUAAUAGGUUAAAUACACCACAAUUUCAAUCCAACAACUAAUAACACUUUCCACCCAUCGGAUCAUUGCAACUAUUAUAUUUACAUACUAGUCUUUUCUGGAUCUGUUAAAAAUAUCUUCUUAUCAUUUUUGGUUUCAUACAUUCGAGCUUGAGAGCCUGUGAUUUCCGCCACCACGACAUGUGACCAUAAGCACUGAAUAUACAAGAUAUGCCAAUGCAUGAACUAACAAGACUUUCAAAACUUUAUAAACUAUGCUCUGAUACCACUUUGACACGACCCGUCCCGAAUCACCCUAGUGGACCCGAAACGUGAUGUGCGCCAAUGAUAAAUGCUAACUAGAUGUCAAAUCUACCACCAAGGCUGACUAUGAGUUAUUUCAAAAAAAUGCAACAACAUCAAAUACUUAUGUAAAAUAUAAUGUGAUGGAUCCAAAUUAUUUACUUUGUAUUUCAUCAAAAUGAGUUAUAAUAUUCAACAUGUUAUGUGGCUCUCAUUCUGAUAGGCUCUUCUAGCUAAAAAAAAUCAAUUUCCACCUGUAAGAACAUUACGGAAAAAUAUAUGAGUUAAUAGCUCAAUGAGUGGAGAAAUUCGAAAAUAAUUAUAUUUUUUCAUUUUUACAUUUUUAUCGAAAAUCGAGUUCAUUUCAUUAAUAACUUCCAAGAUAACAUCAUAUAAUUAUAGUCAAAACGUUAGACAUUCACAUAAUGUGGUAAAAUAUCAUUUCAAGUCAUGAUAUAAACAUAAUCUAAUAAUCAUGUUAUAAUCUCAUCACAUCAAAUGUACUGAAAAAUUCACAAAAAAUGUACCAUCUGACUAAAAUCUGUAACCCUCCCUUAGGCUAAAAACUUUCACCAUGGGCCUUUGGCCCCUCCGUGAACGAAAGCGGAUCUCAAGACCUCUGAUAAUUAAUUCUAGAAUACGGUCAAGGCCCCUCAGUGAACUAUAUAUACAUAGUCACGACCCCUUCAUCUCCAGUCGACCCCUCAGUAUAGUAUUGAACACGACCAAGACCCCUCUGUGAACUAGAAGAAGUACAUAAUCACGAGUACUUUUCUGAUCGAUCUCAAUAUCACGUCUCACAUACCAAACAAAUCUCAAUAUCACAUGUUUCAUAUACCAAGUCACAAAUGUACAAUAAAUAAUCCUUGAAAUUCCACAUGUAUUAUAAUAAAAGAGAUUUCCAUAAUAAUCAUGUAAUUCGAACACAUAAUUGCAUAUAAUUGCACAUGCUUUAACAAUAUACUUAAUUUAUAAAUACUUUAAAAAUAUUUGUAUUUUUCCACUCACAUGUAGUUGUAAAAAAUUAGUCGUUAAUAAGAAAAACCAACACAUUUAUCGAAAAAUUAAACAGAAAGCUAGAUCAAAAUUAUAAAUGCUCAAUCUAAAAACAAAAUCAAGGUACAAGGUAAAUUUAAUAAAAUACAAACAAAUAACUGACGUAAUUGAUAUAUAAAAUCAGAUCAGAUCACGUCAUCAGCAUUCUUACAAUCAAGAAUAUAUUAAGGCCCCGUUUGAUUUCCUCAAAAAGUAUUUUUCUCUUUUUCUGUUCAACCGCACAUUAUUGUUCGUUAAAAUAAUAUUAGAGGUAAAUCAAAAAAUUUUCAUCCACACAUCCUUCAUCAAUCCACUAUUCUAAAAUUCUUUUUUCCUUGAAAAUGAGUGUCAAACACCUCUAAGUGCCCAGAAGAUCUGAAAAUU
rnacentral:lncRNA from 1 species